UGGGCUGUGUAGACUCCAAAGGAGGGGUACUGGCCUGUUUUGAAAGGCGGAUGCGAUGCUGAGGAUCCAGAACUCACUGAGGAUGCUGCCGAAAGCCAGGACAUUGGCAAUCUGUAGUGAACGAGGCACUAACCAACUCUUCCUAACGCACGAAGAACCUACAGGAUUCACAAUCACUGUGCCAGGAUGAGGGAAUUACCCAAGUUUCCAGAUGGAAACAGAGUGCCUCAGGGUGGGAAAGUCACUUCCCUAAAGCCGAACACCUGGAAAACGUGGGCAGGAUUCCAACCCAGAUCCUUCCAACUCCAGGGUCAACGAUCUCCAAGUCUGCAUUUCUCAGCCUGGACCACAUGCUACCUUUAUAGGGGACGGAAGUAGCAACAGUGAUUGGGCAAAGUCAAAGUCUGCUCUUUAAGAAUGGAGAUGCUGAGGUUAGUGCCCAAGACCCUGACUCUCUCCAGAUUCCUCUUUAAAUUUCUUCAUGAAAAGAGGUCAUGCGCAAACCACCAGAAACACUCUGUCUCCUCACAGGAAGGAUCUAGCAUAACCCACGAUAAGAAAGGCUCAGAAUCCUGCAGGGGCCCAGCAGACCUUAUAGACAGUGGGCCUCAAAUCUUCAUCCUCUCUGGGCCACUUAUUACAGACUGCCAACUUUAGGUAAAUUAAAAAAAAAUUCAUCACAAUGUUUUAAAUAAUUAAUUCUUUAAGGUUAAUAAUAAUAAAAUUUUUAUUUUAUAUCUUUGAGAGGAAAUUCAUUUUCCAUCUUACACCAAGGGCUCCAUAUCCAGGACAGUGACAGCAUGAAACAUAUGUAGUUUUUCAACCUGUCACUUUCUAUUUUUACUCUUUAUUUACAUUAAGUUAGAAAAUCCUAACUCUCAGAGGACGUCUGAAAUCGCAGCAUGUUCUGGGGGCUCCAUCAGAUAUUCAGUUCAGUGUAUUCAGAUUGAACGUGGACUCUGAAGUCACGGAGAGAGUUUUUUCACUGCUGACUGUUCUCUGAUGCUCAGGGGCCUGCCCACCAUGCUCAAAACCUGGGGAGUUGAAAUUGUCUUCUGGAAAGUUGAAAGUUUGAUUCUGAGAGAUAGUGAUGGUUGGAUUUCUAGUCCGUUUGGUUUCUUUUCCCUCUGGAAAAUAUUUCUUCAUGUCCCAUUGCAGCUUUGGAAGAUGUUUUUUCAACAUGCCAAUAAGAGCUUUACCACACUUCAGAAAUCUCUUGUGAAAUUAACAGGACAAAAAAUAUCAAGCAUUGCUUCAUUUAUGUACCACCUAUUUUCCAAGCAUUGCUUCCUACUCAUCCCUGGUUUGUUGAAUUGUUAAGCAAAAUAUCUACUCACCCAAAUAUGUCAUAGUCAUUGCUCACCUGCUUGGGGUGACUUUUCUACUAUACUGAGACAACAUCCUACAAAGUCUCUUGAACAGCAAUUGUGUCACUAGCUCAUGAUGCCUUCUUUUUGAGUUAUUUUUCAUUAAUGUCGCUCACUGAAGGCUUCCCAAUCAUGGUAUGAUGUCUGCUAUGAAGAGCAUAACUUUGAAUCUGGCUUUUGCCAUUUAGAUAUCUUUUCUGCUUAGGAAAAAAAAAAAAGCAAGAAUUUUAAAUUCAAGAAGCAUUAUAAUGCCCUCAUUCCAGAAAAAAAAAAAUCUAUUACUUAUAUACCAAAGAGGUCAUUGUGCUUGUUUGAAAAUGACAAAAAUAUUUUAAUGGUGUCAUGCCAUGAUUUGGAAAUUUUAUUUUCAGAUAUCUGUAUUGGAUUUGCAAGUUUUUCAUGAAAGAGAUCAUCCAUAGAAUGUUUCAAAUCUUCCUAGAAAGGUUUAAAAUAGAAUAUCAGGUUUACCAUGUCCUUAACCCCUAAAUAAAGAACUUGUAUGCAAGACUUUUUCAAUUCUUAUCAAAAUGAAACGCAUUUCAUUAGCCACUGGCCCCUGAAAAUCAAAUUACCCAAUCAACAAUCUUUGAAACAGGCUGAUAAUGAACAUUUGUACCACGUGUAGCUG